rnacentral:rRNA from 1 species
AUUGAACGCUGGCGGCAUGCCUUACACAUGCAAGUCGAACGGCAGCACGGGGCAACCUGGUGGCGAGUGGCGAACGGGUGAGUAAUGUAUCGGAACGUACCAUUGAGUGGGGGAUAACGUAGCGAAAGUUACGCUAAUACCGCAUAUUCUCUCCGGAGGAAAGCAGGGGACCGCAAGGCCUUGCGCUCUUUGAGCGGCCGAUAUCAGAUUAGCUAGUUGGUGAGGUAAAGGCUCACCAAGGCGACGAUCUGUAGCGGGUCUGAGAGGAUGAUCCGCCACACUGGAACUGAGACACGGUCCAGAGUCCUACGGGAGUCAGCAGUGGGGGAUUUUGGACAAUGGGGGCAACCCUGAUCCAGCCAUGCCGCGUGAGUGAAGAAGGCCUUCGGGUUGUAAAGCUCUUUCGGCCGGGAAAAAAUCACAUGGGCUAAUACCCUGUGUGGAUGAUGGUACCGGAAUAAGAAGCACCGGCUAACUACGUGCCAGCAGCCGCCGUAA